UACAGAGGGGGCAAGCGUUGUUCGGAAUUACUGGGCGUAAAGGGCGCGUAGGCGGCCUGCUAAGUCGAACGUGAAAUCCCCGGGCUCAACCCGGGAACUGCGUCCGAUACUGACAGGCUUGAAUCCGGGAGAGGGAUGUGGAAUUCCAGGUGUAGCGGUGAAAUGCGUAGAUAUCUGGAGGAACACCGGUGGCGAAGGCGGCAUCCUGGACCGGUAUUGACGCUGAGGAGCGAAAGCGUGGGGAGCGAACAGG
rnacentral:rRNA from 1 species